CUUCCGUAGGUGAACCUGCGGAAGGAUCAUUAAAGAGUAAGGGUGCUCAGCGCCCGACCUCCAACCCUUUGUUGUUAAAACUACCUUGUUGCUUUGGCGGGACCGCUCGGUCUCGAGCCGCUGGGGAUUCGUCCCAGGCGAGCGCCCGCCAGAGUUAAACCAAACUCUUGUUAUUAAACCGGUCGUCUGAGUUAAAAUUUUGAAUAAAUCAAAACUUUCAACAACGGAUCUCUUGGUUCUCGCAUCGAUGAAGAACGCAGCGAAAUGCGAUAAGUAAUGUGAAUUGCAGAAUUCAGUGAAUCAUCGAAUCUUUGAACGCACAUUGCGCCCCUUGGUAUUCCGAGGGGCAUGCCUGUUCGAGCGUCAUUACACCACUCAAGCUAUGCUUGGUAUUGGGUGCCGUCCUUAGUUGGGCGCGCCUUAAAGACCUCGGCGAGGCCUCACCGGCUUUAGGCGUAGUAGAAUUUAUUCGAACGUCUGUCAAAGGAGAGGACUUCUGCCGACUGAAACCUUUUAUUUUUCUAGGUUGACCUCGGAUCAGGUAGGGAUACCCGCUGAACUUAAGCAUAUCAAUAAGCGGAGGAAA
rnacentral:rRNA from 1 species